UGGGAUGAUGAUUUCUUAGACUAGAGUCUCUGAUCAACAUGAAGUCUUUUCACAGUGCACUGACCA